ensembl:lncRNA
AAGUCACUCACAACCUCUUUUGGAGUAGGUGCACCUGCGCGUAUCCAUUCUGUCAGACAAUGUGUUAUGGCAUUAACAUCAUGUCUCUCUGACAGCAUUUUCACCACUGGGACACUUGAGCUCUCACCCCCUGCCACAACAACCUGAUAAAGGAAUAUAUGGCCAGACUUGCCAUUUGGUCUCUGUAGUUUCCUCACCAAUGAGCCAGUUGCAUCAAAACUCACAGUGGGGGUGGCCAAAUUAGGCAGAUGACUUGGCUCAGGAUCUCCAAAAUCCAUCAGCUUUAUUGCCUCUGAUGCCCUCCAUACAUGGGGUUCCUUUCUACCUUCACACAGUUCUUUGGAUAUCUGCACACGCAAGUUACCAGACAUCGGACGUUUGGAACAGCCAGUGUGCAGGGAGUCAUCAGUGUUUUUAAGCAAAUACCUGAACAUCAUUGUGCUGUUUAUUUCAGGCUUUUUGUCACAUUUUAUGUGAAUUUGGCCACGACACUCCUUACAGUUGCCUCUGAUUACAAUAUAUUUGUCUGUGACUGAUGGAUAGACCUUGGCUCUUUUAAAAGUAAAUGUGCAGGGACAUUUCACUUCUUGUCAAAUGUGAUGAUUUAUCACAUGCGUCCAGAUACCUUUUUUUUUGUUUUAGAGAACUUGUUUUUGUAUGUCACUGUUUCAGGCAUAAAUUCAAUCCAUUUCUGAAAUGGAACUUCAAAAUCAAAAGUGCAGAAAUCUUUUGGACUGGAGGAAAGGGACCCUGGCUCAAAAUUAGUGUCAUCACUACUGCCACUUGUUUCAUGAUCACUUUCAUGAGUAAACCCUAAAGCCUUCCAGAUGUUGUGUCUGUUUAAUUUAACAAAAGUGUAUAGUGCCUUUGCAGUGAUCUUGUUGUCUAGCUGUUUACUAAGCUCUGUCCAGAUGCUCUCAUUAGGAGUAGCUAUGUUGCCAUUUUGGAUUAUGGCCUCUUUUGAUGAACACAGGACUGUGAAAAUGGAAUCCCUGUCGACUGCUGGUUUCUUGGGCAUCUGGCAUAAGCAAAACAUAAUUACCCUCAAUUAUUCUGAUUCCAAAAAAUAUCAUGUACAGCAUAAAUUUGUUUUAAUAUAUUACUGUAUUGGUCUGAAUAUAAUGAUCAUAUAAUAUAGUAAGGAUAAUGUAGAUGGAUAAUAUAUCUUAUAUUAGGACCAAAUGGUAAUGUUGACCCCUAGAUUGUCAUUUUUUAUUGAACUGAAAAUUCAUUGCUAACACUAUCACUAAUUUAGCUAUGAAAUGUUAAAUACAGUUGCACCCAUGGUCGUUUUUUAAUACUAAAAUGAAACUUUGUGCAACUGUAAAUAGCAUUCCAUAGCUAAAUUAGUAAUAGAAGUGUUAUUAUUGAGGUUUCUGUUCAAUAACAAGGUUAGCUCUCUUGAAUGUUGUACAAUAAUCUUGCAGCUACUAGUAUUGUAACAGACAGUUUUAAAACAAUGUAUACAUACAUUGUUCAGAAAUUUGGAUUAGUAACGACUUUUGUAGUUUGAUUUAUAUCGACCUUUUCUCCACUAACUCUACACAAUUUUAUACAAGAGCAUUCUUGAAUGGAAGUGUCACUUGCCCCUAGUGGUGGGAGUGGAGUGUAGCAGAUGAGACUCGUAAAAAUGAAAUGCAAUCACAAGACACUGAAGUGAGGAUAAUUGUUUAUUGAACAAAUUAUGUGAUGACAGAACGUCUUCGUCAAUUCUACUUUAAAAGUGUGCUCACCUCGAGGAUAGUUUAGCUGUUUUCUUGCCCACAAAUGCUGAAGUUACAUUUAAACUACGAUGGCACACGCGCACAAAUCCAUUUUGCUCAUAGAGUAGCAGAAGAUAAGAGUGACAUAGGCCUAAUAAAAGAAAAACAUUGUUUUUAUUAAACACUACAGGACUACAAAAAACCUGAUAAGAAAUUGCAUGAUGUUCUAUUAAAUCAUCUUUAUUAGCAUCUAACAUUUUAGAGAUUGAAUAGACAAAACCGAAAUAAAAUGCUCAUAGGCUAUAGGCUACUGACUAACUACAAACCAAAAUACAGAGCUGUCUGACUAUUUUUGAUCUUGUGACCAUUGAUUUAUCUAUUUUAUUCAGUGAGCCUUGUUUGUAGCCUAUAGGCCUAAAUAUUAAUUUGAUUACAUUUUAAAACCCAACGCGGCACAAACGAAACUUUUACCGUCACAAACCAGCACAAACGAAGCACAAACGAACAAGAUUAUUUUAGGUGAAUUUGGAGAAUGUGGGGGGGCUGGUGACGUCAUCGUCUAUAAUUCAAUGUCUAAUAUUUUAAAACCCAAAGCAGCACAAACGAAACUUUUACCGGCACAAACCAGCACAAACGAAGCACAAACGAUCGAGAUUAUUUUGGGUGAAUUUGGAGAAUGUGGGGGGGGCUGGUUGACCUCAGAUUGACCUAAAAAUAUUAUUGUAAUAUCUAAAAUACCGAAGCAGCACAAACGAAACUUUUUACUGCACAAACCAGCACAAACGUAGCACAAACGAACAAGCAUAGUUUGACGACGUUUUGCGUUGGUGGGGGGGCCAACUUCACGCAGGUCACACACCUGCCACAUGCCCAUAUCUCUGGCACUGAUAGCAUCUCAAAGGGGGUCUGUCAUACUCUUUUACUGGGUAGCUCAUAAAACCCAACAUGACCCUCUUCAGUACCACAUCGUCUUUAAAUGAGAGAAGGAUAGGGAUAGUUCCUCUACCAUUCUCAUUUCUACCCAUAUGUUUUACAGCUACAACAUUACCACCUUUCAAACUAGUCAAUAUCUCUUGCUGACUGUAGAAAAUCCAGCCCCUCCUUUUACUUUAAUCAGAACUUUAAAUCCCUCAUCACUAUUUGGAAUAGGCCGUGUUGCUUUAACCUGUGGGUUUUCCAUAUCACUAUCCUGAGAAUUAUACCCUUGCUGUCUUUUGUGUUUUGUUUUAGGCCUACUCACUGUUCUCCAUUCCUCCGCACCCCCAUCCACUCCCCUGGGCAUGGGCUGACUGAGUUUGAGGUAUCCCCACCUGUGUGAGAAUGUAACGUCUAAACAAGGUUCACUGAAAGUUUUUCCUUUACAGAAAACUCACCACACGUCUACCUUUCCACUUUGAAUCUAUCUACUAAGUUUCCAACACACAACUCUCCGGUUACCGGAGACAAUAAGGACAAAGAAAUAAUUCAAUAAAUCAUACAUAUGACAUGUAUUACGGUGGAUGUCCAUCUGCUUCUUGGCUUUUCGCAUGAUUCACUCAUCGCUAGCUGCUUGUGGGUGUGUACACCAUUUUUGUAUUAAUGCCGGGAGUUCACGUUUACUAGCUCCUGUACAGCUAUUUAGUUACAGCUACAAAUAAGUAGUAACACAUGUAACACAUGUAGGGUACCCGAUUAUUAGGUUAAUGAAAAUCGAAAUUGCUCUAUAGGAAAUAUAGCAGCUGCUGUAGCUAUUACUAGUAAUAGUGUCAUAGGGGCUGGCUAUGUAGCUAAUGUUUGUGUAUUUGAUAAAGACGUGGCUUUAUAUAAUAGUACCAAAUGAAAUGUCUUCCAGCUUAUUAGAAGUAUUCCCAACCAAUGAUACAAAUGAUAACAUUUCCGCCCAUUUUGCUAUAGGAAUGAUUGUAUGGUAUAGACUAUUGUGAAUGGAAACAGAGGAGGGUGGAAUGUUUUUUGUUGUUGUUGUUUUGUCUUAAGAUGCGAUGGUAGGAAUAAAACCAAGCACCCUUUAUACCCUGCUCAUUGUACGAUUGUCUCAUCAGUCUUACUAUGUUAUUGUUUUGGAUUAUUAUGUUUAUUUAUAUGUACUGUAUAUUGCAGUCGGUGACUCUUGAGUGUCCUUUGUUAAUUUUUUUUUUUAUGAGUAAGCACAUCAUGAGCCUGUAUAAUCCAGAGUCAAAUUCUUCAUGUGUACACAUACCUG